GCUCUUCUUUGUAUGUCUGUUAGAAUUUGGCUGUGAAUUCACCGGAUCUGGGCCUUUUAUGACAUCUUCUGUAACCAGAAGCACUCCAAGAACAACACUUUCAUUCAUGGACUUAACAACUACAUUAGAUCAUACCAGCCUGUCACUUCAAAGUCACCAGUGUCAAGAACGUCAUGAGCACCAGGCUCUUCAUAGGCUACUGAAAUGAGGAAAGCUCUGACCCUCCACUCAAGAAGUUGCUACGCUGGAACAUUUCAAAUUGGCUUAAAGCAUUGUUUUGGAGGUGUGAAUAAUGAAGCCAAGGACAUUAGCAACAUCAUGAAAGCAGGCAUCAAGUGAAUAGAGAAGAUUCUAUGGAUGUAGAAGAGGUCCCUGGGUUUCCGAAUUGCCACUGGAUUGCCUCUAUCAAAUACACAAGAGUUUCAUGAUCACAGGGGACCCAAGAUUCUUGGACAGAAUUCUCGCCGGGAGCCAACUCAGCCUGAUCUGCUGGCAUCUCUCAAGUAUCAGAAGUCAACAAAAUGGUUUGCCUUGAAGACUUGGCCAGAGCAGCAGCCAAAGUUCAUAAGGCUUUCGUAGAGAGAUUGUUUGUCUAAGAAAACAAAAUUCUAAGGGCUCCCAUUGUGCAGCUGGGGUGGCAAAAUGCAAACUAAUAUAAGGAAAAAAAAUGCUUUUCAUUUCCAUGGAAGAAAUGACCCAUCCUAUUGUUGAUAUUUCCUUUUCUGUGCUAACUUAUUCCAUUAAUUAGGCUCUCGUUUUAUGAGAUAAUUUCACUGCAUGCGUAUCUUCUUUUGGUUAUUACACAAGGACUGUUUUCUAUGGUUCAUAUCUAAGUCCAACCCUGGAAAAAUCUUUUUUUUUGAGACAGCCUUUUUUGUUUUGUUUUGAGACAAUACUCCCUCUGUUGCCCAGGCUGGAAUGCAGUGGUGAGAUCAUAGCUCACUGCAACUUCUGCCUCCUAGGCUCAAAAAAUCCUCCCACCUCAGCCUCCCAAGUAGCUGGGAUUGCAGGCAUAUGCCAUCACACCCGGCUAAUUUUUGGAUUUUUAGUAAAGUUUUGCCAUGUUGGCCAGGCUGAUCUUGAACUCCUGCCCUCAAGUGAUCUGCCCACCUUGACCUCCCAAAGUGCUGGGAUUACAGGUGUGAGCUACUGUGCUCAGCUCAGCCAUGGAACAAUCUUGAUGUAUAAUUUAUCUGCAGGUAUCUCCAUCUCUAUUUGCCACUCUUAGUAAAUGUUUUAGUUUGACAGUAAACGAGUUGAGACAUUAAUGAUUGAGAGAGCACCUAAGCAGCUCGAAGUGCUGGGAGUCUCUCCUAAAGAAUUAGAUGCACACAGCAUUUUUCCCUUACAGACACUUCACUGAGCAGUCAUGUUGGACUUGGGUGGCGUCUGCUAUUAGACACACUAUUCACCAAUAAAACCCUGAAAAUUGCAUUGCACAGGACUGAUAAAAAUAAGAUGACUUAAGAAACGUAUUUAUGGUAUAUAUACACAGAAAAAGAAUGAAAGUUUGAGGGGGUAUUGCCUCUGGGAGGAAGAGUUAUGAGUAGUUUGUAUUUCCUUUUUUGUUAAUCUGUAUUUCAUUUUUUAGGCAAUGCAAAUAUAUUAUUUAGACAACAAAAUACUUAUUAGAAAGAAAAGACAUGGUGGGUUUUUUCCCCUUUAUUCUUUGCUUUUCUAAGAGGAAACUUUGACUGCAAUUGCUUGUGAGUGAUACCUGUGUUCUGGUAGCUUAGGAAGACACAAUGUGGUUAGGGAAGGAUAAGAACAGAUGGCUUUAAUAAAUGUACUCAAGGCUAAUGUACCCUUCAUAGUCUCAGGCUUCAGAUCAGAUCUCUUAUCUAUGCUGGCACCAGGAUGUGGUUUUGAGUUCUCUGCUUUUUCUACAGCUUUAGGGAAAUCUGCAUGCAGGCACAUCUAAUUGUCCAAACCAAAAAUCACAUCCAGGAUGUGAGGCAGCCUGGGAGAGGUCAUUUUGAGUUCUGUAGUCUCCGAAGUAUAAAAACACAUAAACAUGUAUACAUACACACAUUAACACCCACACACUUUUGAAGGAAGAUGGAAUGGAAGACAAGCACCACAGUGAAACUUUAGAAGAAUUUCCCUUACAUUCAGGAAAAAAAGAUAGAGGGUCCAUUUUCAUCACUCUUAUUGCCAUUGUCUAGAAGAUAAGCCGUAAUAAGAUAAAAUAAAAAGUGUAUAGAACACUUGGAAAAAAAUAUAAAAGAUUGGUCCCAUUCUCCGAUGGCAUGAUAUUCAAAUGAAGAACCAACUAUAAACAGGUUGUUAUGAGCUGAAUGUUAAUGUGACCCCAAAAUUCAUAUGCUGAAAUCUUAACCCCAAAGGUGAUAGUGUUAGAUGGUGAGGCUUUUAGGAGUUGACACAGUGUAAUGCCUCUUCUAUGAAGAAGUGGGCCUUUGUCAGUUACCAAAUCUGCAGAGGCCUUGAUCUUGAACUUCCCAGCCUCCAGAGCUUGGAGGAAUGAAUGUUUAUUGUUUGUAAACCACCCAGUUUAUGGUAUUUUAUUAGAGCUGCUCAAAGGGUCUAAGACACAAGUAUAAGUCAUAAGUAAAUGCAUCAAAUUUGCUGAAUAUAAAUCAACAUAUAAAAAAUCAACAGCAUGCUUGGAUCCCUGGUAUGAAUCACAUCUGGUCAUGGCAAAUAAUCUAAAAAAAAAUAAUAAAAUAAUCAAUUUAAAAAAUUUAAAAAGCAACAGUAUUUACUAUUCAUUGCCAAUGACCAAUUAGAAAAUGGCAUAAACAUGACAUCUGUGAUAAGACAAAUACUCUAAGGUAACUAGAACUACAAGUAAUAAAAGAUGUGUACAGUUUACAGAGACGAUUGUAGAAAGCCAAAAAAAAUUAAAAGUGAAAACCUAAAUGGGAAGAAGCAUCAUGUAUAUUGGGUCAUAGUAGAUAUCAUAAUAUAAAUUAUAAAAUACAGAACAAAAUGAUAUAAAAUACUAAAUUUCAAAAUGUGUUGGAUAUAGCUAAAGCAGCACUAAAGAGGAAUUUAUAGGUUUAAAUACACGUAUUGGGGGAGGAAAGAGAUAAAGUUUGAUAUGGCGGUAAGCAUCCACUUAGGGAAAAGUACAAAAAGAAAAUAAUAGUAGAAAGUAAUAAAAUAGAAAAUAUAAAAGAGGUUUUUUAAAAAAUACUUACAAAAUGGACAGUCUUUAUGGGGAUUGAACAAGAACAAAGAAAGAAGGCACUGAUAACCAAUGUCAAGGAUAUGGAAGUGGAUAUGUGGAUAUAACUAAAAUGCUGCAGUUAUUCGAGAUAAGAGUAUUAUAAGUAACUGUAAGAUAACACAUUUAAAAACUUGGUCGAAAUGGUCAAAUUUGUAGAAAAGUAUAUCUCAACAAAACUGAUUCAAGAAAAAUAACCCAUUAAAAAAUAAAUCAGCAGUUACCUUUUAUUUAUUUAUUUUUGACAAGAAAAUAUCAAAUGGUUUUACUGGCAAGAUCUGCCAAAUAUUCAAGAAACAAGUAAUUUCAAUUUUGGACAGAAUUUUCCAGAGAAGAGAAAAUGGGAAGAGGGUUGUUCCUCAUUUUAUGAAGCUAGUAUACACAUCAGUGCCAACAUUUGACAAGGGAAGUUUGAAAAAGGAAAAUCACCGACUAAUCUCUCCCAUGAGCAGAGACUUAAAAAAUUCUAAACAAAAUAUUUGCCAACCAAAUCCGAAUAUAGAAAGGAUUGUACACCAUGAUCAAGUUGAGCUCAUCCUAGGAAUGUUUCCUUUAUGGUAACAUUCGGGAAAGCAAAAUACAUGGGUGCACAUGCAAGAGGUAGGAGAUUGAGACUGGGAGUCUGUAGAACUUCUGAUUUCAUCCAUUUUUUGCAAGUGAAUUAGAUUUUCUUUAAAAAGGUUAUUGGGUGAAGGCGCAGAUAGAGGAGCAGGUCUUGGAGAUUUAAGGGGAAAGGAAGUAUGAUACAGUCUUCUAGAAGACUGGAAGAGUAAAUGGAAUAUAGCGUGAUUGCAUUGGGGCUCCUCUGAGCUUUAUGGGCAUGAAUUUAAAGAUUAUUUGAGGCCCUGGUUUGUGCAGUAAGAAAAAUUUUGUUUAGGGAUUAGGAAGGAAGAAAUAAAACUAAAAAUCUCCCAUUAUUCACAGAUGACAUGAUGAUUCUUAUAGAAAACCCAAAAGAUAUUACUACAUCAAUAUAGAAAACUCAAUUACAUUUCUUUAUUUUUCUUUUUCUUUUCUUUUUUUUUUUUUUUUGCUUUAAGUUCUAGGAUACAUGUGCAGAACGUGCGGGUUUGUUACAUAGGUAUACAUGUGCCACGGUGGUUUCCUGCACCUAUCAACCCGUCAUCUAGGUUUUAAGCCCAGAAUGCAUUAGGUAUUUGUCCUAAAACUCUCCCUCCCCUUCCCCUACUCCCCCCAACAGGCCCUGGUAUGUGAUGUUACCCUCCCUGUGUCCCUGUGUUCUCAAUGUUCAACUCCUACUUAUGAGUGAGAACAUGCGGUGUUUGGUUUUCUGUUUCUGUGUUAGUUUGCUGAGGAUGAUGGUUUCCAGCUUCAGCCAUGUCGCUGCAAAGGACAUUAACUCAUUCGUUUUUCUGGCUGCAUAGUAUUCCAUGGUGUGUAGGCGCCACGUUUUCUUUAUCCAGUCUGUCAUUGAUGGGCAUUUGGGUUGGUUCCAAGUCUUUGCUAUUGCAAAUAGUGCUGCAAUAAACAUAUGUGUGCAUGUGUCUUUAUAGAAUGAUUUAUAAUGCUUUGGGUAUAUACCCAGUAAUGGGAUUGCUGGGUCAAAUGGUAUUUCUGGUUCUAGAUCCUUGAGGAAUCACCACACUUUCUUCCAUAAUGGUUGAACGAAUUUACACUCCCACCAACCAUGUAAAAGCAUUCCUAUUUCUCCAUGUCCUCACCAGCAUCUGUUGUUUCCAGACUUUUAAAUGAUCAUCAUUCUUACUGGCAUGAUAUGGUAUCUCAUUGUGAUUUUGAUUUGCAUUCCUCUAAUGGCCAGUGAUGAGUUUUUCUUAUGUUUUCUGGCCGCAUAAAUGUCUUCUUUUGAGAAGUGUCUGUUCAUAUCAUUCACCCACUUUUUAAUGGUUUUUUUCUUGUAAAUUUAAGUUCCUUGUAGAUUCUGGAUAUUAGACCUUUGUCAGAUGGAUAGAUCGCAAAAAUUUUCUCCAAUUCUGUAGGUUGCGUGUUCACUCUGAUGAUAGUUUCUUUUGCUGCGCAGAAGCUCUUCAGUUUAAUUAGAUCCCAUGUGCCAAUUUUGGCAUUUUUUGAAAAUGCUUUUGGUGUUUUAGUCAUGAAGUCUUUGCCCAUGCCUAUGUCCUGAAUGGUAUUGCCUAGGUUUUCUUCUAGGGUUUUUAUGGUUUUAGGUUUUAUGUUUAAGUGUAAGGAGGGAUACAUUUAAGCCAAAAAGGACAGUCUACAUCUCUGCUUAUUGUCCCAAGGCAGCAGAAAUACAAUUCAUAGAUCCCAACACUUAGCCUUCCCCACCCUAGUCACACAGCAUCCCUCAGCCUGCCAAGGGAAUUGGUUCUGCAGACACGAGGGAUUUGCCCGGGGAUAAAGACCCCUUCUGGUUCAGACAUCAGGAGAUACAAAUGCAAUACACCACAGCUGACACAACUGGACAUCUUCAGUGUUGCAGUCUCACCCUAUCUCUCUGCUUGCCAGCUCCAGCUCAUCGGGCCAGUUAUGAGAAGGAAAACAUAUUUUCUAAAAGCUUUCUUAAGUGUUCACAUGGCCAGCUGCCCUUGUUUGUUCUCCUGAGUACUGAGGUCACUGGAAGCCACAAAACCCAGCUGGGACCACUUCAAUGAGUUAUGCUCCAGGGAAAAUUAUGGUGUGAAAAGGUAAAAGGAAAUUUUGGAAACUGGUGGAAUCUUCAUGGAAGUGUCACCCUGGGCUAAUACCAAGGAUCUGACAUAGACAAAAGUAUGAAUUACUCUGCAGGCUCAGCGCCAAGGGCAAGGUCGUAAGAGCCUGAGAUGGUCUUAACAAAUUAAGUGAGGCAGGCAAAGUUCAGUUGCUUACUGUGAGCUGGACCCUUCUACAUUAUUAUUUUUAUCAUGGAGUCCAAUGUCCCCAUGUUGAUCCUAACAAGCCAAGUCCCACAUUGCAUCAUCCCACAUGGGCCGGCCUUCUCUGGGCAAAACUUCAAGAUGUGAAACUCCUUUUUUCUCCUCUCAAAAUGUGCCAGUCCUGAGUCUCCUGUAUUGGGUUCAUUAAUGUUAACAUACUUUUUCUGGUCUGCUACAAUGAUCCAGGCACUGCACUAUAGUCCAAAGGCACAAAACAAUAAAUUAGACUUGCCCCUUGUUCUCAGGACUGAAAAUGGUUCCAUUCACCAAAAAAACAGGUGAAAGUUUACCCAGCACCUAAACCUGUACUAAUGUAUUAAUUAAUGCAUCACAGUUUAUUUAUUCUACACUUAUUUUACUUGCCCCUGUAAUAUACCACUAGAUGCUUCAGUAUGGGAGAUAUUGAACUCUAAAGUUCUAAGGGUGCUGUGGUGGAGAUAUGGACAUAUCUCAAAAUUAGCAGGAAAUUUAAAUAGCGAUUUUAAGAGAAAGUAAGAUCUGGUUAUGAGAAAGGAUGAAGCUACUCUGGGUGAGAGAAAACUGAGAACUAUGCCCUAGGAAUAUCCAACAUUUAAAGUGUAAACAAAGAAAGUAAAGACAGAGAUGACAACUGAGAAAGAGUGGUAGUCACAGGAGACUCAAGUGAGUGUAGCUGGAAGAUGUCAUCAGAACCCUAGUUAAUAACAUGUGGUCUACCAUUGCUACAAUACAAUGCCCUCCAGCCAUCUCAGGCAGGUGGGCCUUUACUUUCCUCAAAUUACAUUCACAGAUGAACAACCCAUGCUCUAUGAAGGAGUCGGGCCUGCAUACUAUCCUUCCCAAUGAGGGAGAUGUGACAGUUCAGGAUUCAGGAAAGGACCAAAUGGACUCACCAGGAAUGUGCACUUGGCUCUGGGGAUUGUAGCUGUCCAUCAGCAUCCACACUGGAUGAAACUGCUGAAGGAAGGGGCUCCGAAAACACCCACUUUCCUCAGCCUCUGCGGCCUUAACUCCAUGUGCCAGCAGGUCAGGCUAACAGGCUGUGGUGCUAAAGGCAUCAGGCAGACAUAUCUACUGGCCCAUUAAGAUUCUGUACCUAAACACUACCCACCCCGCCCACCCUGCCCCAGUGAUGGCCCUGCCUUUCCUGCCAGGCCUGCUCUCCUCCCCAAGAAAGGGAAAAUGGUUAGCAACUUUCAGAAACUAAAACAAACACAAAAGUUUGCCAACAUUAAACUCUGCUUCACAGCUAAAUGGACCAUAAACUUUCAGCACCUUGAACAAAACUUCAAUUCAAUCCCUUCUACAGGUGCUGUGGGCACAAAGACUGCACAGUGUAUUUUUGCCCUGGGAAAGAGUCUCAAAUUAUUAUUUUUGUAAAAAAAAAAAAAAAAAGAAAAGAAAAAGUUGCCUGGAAAAAAGUUUCAUUUUGUGCUUAGAAAAACAAGCCAAGAGGCAACGCACACCCCCUUUCUCUCCAUUCUCACUUCCCUGCACUCUCACGAGAAGAUUCCAGCCCACCUUGAAACCCAGCAUGGAUACUAGAGAAGACAUCUUUUUCUCCAGUUUUCAAAUAAGCCUCCAGGAUGAGGCACACGCAGACCUUUCCUGCUAGCCUGUAAUUCACCACCUUCUAAAAGGACCAGGUCAUGAUACAAAUGAAAGCAAUGAAAAGCACAGGCCUGCAUGCCCAAGGUCUGAGUCUUGCUCCCUGUCAUCUUCGGUGUGACCUUAGCGUGUCACUUGACCUCUCAGGUCUCACAUUUAGCAUCCAGACAACUCAGGACUUAAGUUCUCUUACAGCUCUAAAAUUCUGUAUGGGAAUGACAUCAAUAAAGUAAUAUAAUUUUUUGUUCAAACCAGCAAAGAUGUGCAAAUACAAGGGGUAGUGAAUAGCAAUUAUGCCUGGCAUCCAGCAGAACUGUGCUGGGAACCAAGACCUGUGGUUCUGAGGGCUGUCCAGAGAGCGCCACGGCCAUUCGCGUGCUAAACCUUUGCAACCUGAGCCCAGUAACAGGAACACAGAACAUUCUCCAGGAGUCUGGGGCCUUGCCUCCAUUCUCCAGCUGCUCCUCUCCCAUUGUUUUCCCUCUCUACACGACUGCCCUUUCUUGGGCUCCCCAUGCUCUAAGUUAAGUUGGCAGCAUGGCAGAGAUUGAGAGCACAGAUUCUGGUCUCAGACUGCAUGGGCUCAAAUUACAGCUUCAUAAUUUACCACAUGAUCUUGGGCAAGUUACUUAAACUCAAAGAUAGACUUUUCAAACAUUUUUUCACUGCAAUCCACAGUAAGAAAUAUAUUUAACAUAAAUAAUACUCUACGUGUGUGCACACACACACACAUACUCACAUAAAUUAAAAGAUUAAUAAAAAAUAAUUAUUUUUGAUAUUUUGUGAGCACCAUUUGAUUGGUCCUAUUCUAUGUAAAUUUCUAUAAAUGCUAGUCAUAAUCCAGCAAAUUGAUUUCAUGGUCUACUAAUGGUUUCAGACCCACAAUUUGAAAAACCCUGUUCUAAGCUUUAGUUUUCUCAUCUGUAAAAUGAAGAUAAUAUAAAUAAUAUCCUCUCUGUGGAGUUGUUAUGAAGAUGACUAAAAUGUUCAUAUAAAAGCGUUUGGCCACAGUGCAGGGUGGCUCACGCCUGUAAUCCCAGCACUUCGGGAAGUCAAGGCAGGCAGAUCACAUGAGGCCAGUAGCUCAAGACCAGCCUAGUCAACAUGUUGAAACCCUGUCUCUACAAAAAGUACAAAAAUUAGCCCAGCAUGGUGGUGCACACCUGUAGUCCCAGCUACUCAGGAGGCUGAGGCAGGAGAAUCACUUGAACCCGGGAGGUGGAGGUUGCAGUGAGCCAAGAUGGCACCACUGCAUUCCAUCCUGGGCAACAGAGUGAGACUCUGUGUCAAAAACAAACAAACAAACAAACAAAAGGUUUAGCUUGGAAGGUAAUAAGUGCUCAGUGAAUAUUAGUGUUAUUAUUACUCAAGGAAGGGCAUCAGUGUGAAAUAAAUCUUAUACUUCAAGUCCAAAAGGGAAGCUCCCAGUAAUCAUGCCCUUCAUGAACCUGUACAUGAAUCAAAUGGCUUUUCCCAUUGGGCAUGCAUGCCAUGCCAUCAAGCAAGUCAGAAUUUAAGCUUCUGUGCAGGUCAGUGAAGACAUGGUGCUUGCCACUGCAGCAGCAGCCAUCUUGCACACAUGAGGUGCCACACCUGAGGAAGGAAGAACAAAGCAAUGGAAAGACCAGUGUUUUGGUAUUACUGAGUUGCUGAACCAAUCCUGGAACUGGAUCUCAGGCUUUUUAUUUAAAUCAAUAAAAUCUCCUGAUGUUUAAAAGGCAAUUUUAUGCAAACCAGCUCAUUACCUCCUACAGUGUCCCUUCCCUCACCAACAGGAAGUGGCUCCACAUUUCAAUUGCCUUUUUGCCCUUGAGAAUCAGCAUUCCCUAAACCACCACUAUUAAAUUUGGGACUCUGAAACCACAGAAAUACCCUACAGUAGGAAAUCCCCCUUGGGUGCCUAGACUCUCUAUCACCUUUGCAAAGCUUUUAAGUAAAAAAGGAAAACCUCAGGCUUCCCACUUAGCCAUGGAAAGUGGUACCACCUUCAGAGGAAAGAUGGGGGAUUCAGGAGCACCACCUCCAAUUUUAGGAGGUGCCCCUGAUUUCCUCAAAUACUGACAGGUAAUUUAACCUAAACAAUGGAGAGGAGCCCUGCUUCAAGAUGCAGUGCUAGGCUCACCCUGACCAGCACUUGGUAGAUAAGAAAGAGAAAACAACUUACAAAUUCUUCAGUGAUGCUUGGCUCAGUACUUAGCUCGCUGGCUGGCUGACUUUGCAACUACUUCUAGUUAAGGGUUCCAAAGGACUGGAAGGUAAAUAACCAGCAAGGUGUCGUAACACUGAGACAGAGUGAAAUAUUAUUUCCACCCUCUCGUGACCUCGGUGGCCAUUUUCCAGCUCUAGGGCCAGUCUGCACAUGACGAUGAGUGGUAUCUGAUGGCUGGUCCUGGCAUGAAGUGUGAGGGAAUGCCAGUUUAGGACUUGAACCUUCCAUCUCCCACUGAUUCCAGUCAGAGUAAUCCAAACCUAGUCUGUCUUUUCUUUCCCUUAUGCUGCAAACUUUCCCCUGUUUUAGUCAAAAUACACCAGCUUAGUAAUUCUGGCUGCCACAGACUGAAUUUUGAGCCUCACCAGUUUCCAAAUAAUUAAGACAGAGAAAGUGAGUUAAAUAAAAUAUGGCCAGAUUAAAUAAACAAUUCGGUACUUUAGGAGAAGAAUUCAGGCUGGGUCUAAGAUAGGCGCCUAGCGCAGGGCUCUGCAGCAGACAUAAGGAAGUCUUAAGUUGGUUUUCAAUAGGUGUACCUAAGGGUGCAUUUGAUAACAACAACAAAAAGAGAGAUGGAAGCAAAUAUUUAACAAGCACCUAUUAUCUAUCAGGCACUACAUAUACAUUCUCUCAUUUUCUUCUUACAAAGUACACGUAUCCUAGCAAUUAUUUCCAUUUUAAAAAACUGAAAAUGAAAAAUUACUUGCUCAAGAUCAUAAAGCAAGUAAACAUUAGAAUUAGGAUUUAACCCUAGGCCCUUCUUGUGCAGGAGUCAUGCUCUUUCAAGCACACUGUGCUGUCCCCCGGGAAGAGUGAGGGUUAUCAGGAAAAGCAGUGGAAUGGCAGAAAAGAAGAAGGGGAAGGAUUUUAAAACAGGGAAAAGAAAGGACAGAAAUACAUAAAAAUAAGAAAUGGGAACAGGAAGGACUGCAAAGAUUAAGGAAGAACGGUUGGUGAGUACCUUGGCUAUUUAGUGGAAUUUGGUGAUUCAGAACUGGGAAUGGACAGUAAGCCCCUUCAAAUACCCUGGGGAAGCCAAGAUUGUCAUGGAGCUGUUCUUUUCUCUAUCUCAAGUACAAAUGUCUCAAAGAACUCUAAAAGCUACUUAAAGCAAGAGCAAGGAACUCAAACUAAGUUCUUAUUGAGUGGUGGCCAAAAAACAAGCUGGACGAGUUUCCAGAUGAUACUGCCGGGAUGAUUCUUUUAGCUGACAGUUACCAAAAAGGAAGGCUUUCAGGACAUGUCAAUAGCAGAUCUUACGCCUUCUCUGACCUCGGCCUUCCUCAGAGUCUUUUAGCUGUAAUGAGCAAAUAUUAGCAUAAGAGACAGGGACCAAAUAUUUGUUUAGUGUCUGUGUUGAUUAUUAAGCUGUUGCCUGUAAACUCCACACUCACCCUUCAUUCUCAGCUUUGUGUUGCUGGGGCUGGGCCUCUGUAAUCACAUUUCAGCUUUGCCAGAGGGAUUUCUCUUAGGCUGCCAGUAGUGGGGCACUAGAGGGAGUCUGGAGGCAGUGGGGAAGAAGGGAUUUGUUCCUUCUGUUUUUUUGCUGGUCCUGUCAGUAUCAUCCCAGCAGCCCUUAGCUCCAGUUUGCAGUUAUUUUCCUCACUACAAGAACACACUCCCUCAGUGAUAGCGUCUGUCAACCAGAACCUCCUCCCCAGAUAUUGAGUCCCUGUUUUGAGGGUCCCUGCUCUGAGUCUCCAACGCACCUGCCUCCACCAGGCAGCACCCCUCCCUCCUGGUCCAGUUUCCAGCUCUGCAGGGCCCUCCUCCAAGCUUCCAGAUCCCAGGCACCUGACGCAUCCCUUUUGUUCUCUCAGCCCUAGGGGUAGCGAUUGCUUCCUGCAGUUGCUAGCUCCGUGACCCUCCAGUGGUCCUCCUCCUCACUUUCAGUGCUUCAAUUCCUUAUAUUAAGUAUUCUUUAUUAGGAAAACUGAUGGGUGUCUGUUUUCUGGACUGGCCUUUACCUGAUUUGUUAUCACUUCUGUCUACGUCCAGGACAAUAUUGAGCAAUAUUCUGAGGCUAUACUGUGUUAAAAGGAAACUUCAGACAAAUUAAAUUUAACAGAGUUUAACUGAGCAAGAAAAAAAAAUUCAUAAAUUGGGCAGCCUCCAGAAUCACAACAGAUUCAGAGAGAGUCCAGGGAUGCCUUAUGGUCAGAACAAAUUUAUAGACAACAAAAGGGAAGUGACGUGCAGAAAUCAGAAGUGAGGUACAGAAACAGCUGGACUGAUUACAGCUCAACAUUUGCCUUUUUUGAACAAAUCUGAACACUCAGCAGUGUAUGAGUGGUUGACGUAUGGCUGCUGUGAUUGGCCAGACCUCAGCUAUUGUUACAGGCACAUACUCUUAAGUCAGGUUUUCAAUCCUAUCUGACUAUAAAGUUAGGUUACAGUUUGUCCUCAUGGACUCAAAUUUAGAAGUAUGGCGUCCUUCUCAGGCCAUAUUUAGUUCAGUUUAACAAGUGCAUAUGGCUUCUGACAAAGGUGUGGCCCCUUUAGGACUCCAAAGACGCUGUCACUUACAUGGUAUUCAGGGAGGACACAGAGGAUCUGUGAGCAGCCUGCAGCCAAGCUUUGAGAUCAUAUUGAGAUUUUUUUGUAAUAUAUGAGGAGUGUUCUGGCUCCUUUUAUUACUUUCUUCAUAGCAAAAAUUGGGGGUCCAAGUUGUCGUUAAAUUGAAACUCUCUCACUUACCCUGAAAAAGAUUUGACUGUGAGCAUAACAUUGUUACUUCAUUCAAGACAUGGAAGCAAAAGGGUUAAUUAGUGCUGCUCACAAAAUAGUUCUACUUUUUCUUCUUCCAAUUAUAUGAUUGGAUAACCCUUCCCUCCCUUGAAGUCAGGGUUGCCAUGUGGCUUACUUUGGUCAAUAGAAUAUGAUUGAGAGCAAUACUGUGGUACAUCCAUACAGUGGAAUAUUAUCCAGUGAUAAAAAAAAAAAAAAAAAGGAAAGAAAGAAAGCCACAAAAAGACAUGGAAGAGAGCCAAGCGCAGCGGCUCAUGCAUGUAAUCCCAGCACUUUGCGAGGCUGAAGUGAGUGGAUCACUUGAGCUCAGGAGUUCAAGACCAGCCUGAGCAACAUGGCAAAACCCCAUCUCUAAAAAAAAAUACAAAAAAAUUUUAGCUCAGUGUGACUCUGUGUGCCUGUAGUCCCAGCUACUGGGGAGGCUAAGGUGGAAGGAUCACUUGAGCUCAGGAGGUCAAGGCUGCACAAAGCUGCAAUGAGCAGAAAUCAUGCUUGGGCAACAGAGAGAGACCCUGUCUCAAAAUAUGUUAAUGAGAGAGAACUCUGGGCAAGGGGGUGGAGGGGCAGAGGAGGAGUGUGGGGAAGGGGAAGGAGUGCAUACCUGGAAACUCUACUUUCUGCAUAAUUUUUCUAUAAACCUGAAAUUGCUCUAAAAAGUAAAGUCUAUUUAAAAAUAAUAAAUAAGAAAGAAAUAUGAAUAUCACUUGUGUCACUUUUGUGUCAAAGCAUUAACGGCCAGCACAUGAUUUGCCUUGCCACUCCCUUCCUCUUGGUCUGUAGUCCAAUGCUCUACCUCUGAGCUAUACCCCUUCCUUGCCACUCCCUUCCUAAAGAUAAGCCUCCCUCAUUGGAUUAGAAUUCUCCGGAGAGACAGAGACAAUAAGAUAUAUAUAGAGAGAGAUGGAGAGAUAGAGAUAGGAAUUAUCACAGGAUUAUGGAGGCUGAGAAGUCCCGCAAUAAGCCAUCUAUAAGCUAGAGAACCAGGGAAGCCAGUAAUAUGAGUCAGUCUAAGCCUUAAGGCUUCAAAACCAGAGAUGUCAAUAGCAUAACUUUCACCACAAGACUGAAGGUCACAAGGCUGAAUGCCUGAGAAACUGGGGGGUCACUAAUCCAAGCCCCAGAUUCGAAAGGCUGGAUAGAGAACCUGGGGUUCUGAUGUCCAAGGGCAGGAGAAUAAGGGUGUCCCAGCUCCAGAAGGGAGUGAGCAAAUUCACCUUUCCUCUGGCUUUUUGUUCUAGUAGGACCUGAGCCAUAUGGACGAUGCCUGUCCACAUUGGGUGAGGCCACAUCUUCCUCACUCAGUCCACUGAUUCAAAUGCCAAUCUCUUUUGGAAACACCCUUAUAGACAUGCCCAGAAGUAAUGCUUUAUCAGCUAUCUGGGUACCACUUAAUCUGGUCAAGUUGACACCUAAAAUUAAUUAUCAUCACAACUCAUUCUGGUUCUGUUAGUGAGAAUAAUCAAGAAUGCAUCCCUAGCUCGUCACUUCCAAUGAGCCAGUCUUCAGUGGACAUGCACCCUGAGUGGAAAAAAAGUAAAAACUGUUUCUAUUGUUGUUUUAAACAACUUAGAUUCAGAGAUUAUUUGUUAUUGCAGGAUAACCUAGCUUAUCCUGACUAAUACAGAGAGAGGAAGUCCUCCUUUAAUCUCCAACAGAAAUAUUAAACAGCAAUCAAUCACACAAUAUUGGUUAAAAAAACAAAGAUAAUAAUCAUUGUUAUUAUUUUCAUUAUUUCUGGAAAUAAAUUUAAAACUAUUGAAAAAACUUACUUUUAAAAUUCUCAACAUCACUAAUCAUCCAGGAAAUGCAAAUCAAAACCACAAUGAGAUGUCAUCUCACCUCAGUUAAAGUGGCUAUUAUCAAAAAGACAGAACAUAGCAGUUGCUGAUGAGGAUACAGAGAAGGGGAAGUUCUCCUACACUGUUCAUGGGAAUGUAGAUUAGUAUGGAAGUCCAUCAGAAAACUAAAAAUAGAACUACCAUAUGAUCCAGCAAUCCUACUGCUAGGGAUGUAACCAAAAGAAAGGCAAUCAGCAUAUAAAAGAGAUAUCUGCACCUCUUUGUUUAUUGCAGCACUAUUCACAAUAGCCAGAUUAUAGAAUCAACAUAUGUGCCCAUCAACAGAUGAAUGGACAAAGAAAAUGUGGUAUAUAUUCACAAUGGAAUAUUCAUUCAUAAAAAAAUUAAAAUCCCAUCAUUUGAAGCAACAUGGAUGUAACUGGAGGAUAUGAUGUUAAAUGAAAUAAGCCAUGCACAGAAAGACAAAUAUCACAUGUUCUCACUCAUAUGUGGGAGCUAAAAAGGCUAAACUUAUGGAGGUGGGGAGUAGAAUGGUGAUUACCAGAGGUUGGGAAGUGUUGAAGUCAGAGAGGAAGAGAACUUGGUUAAUGGGUACAAAAAUACAGUUAGAAAGAAGGAAUAAGUUCUAGUGUUCACAGUAGAACAAACAUAAUUAAUAAGAAUUUAUAGUAUAUUUCAAAAUAGCUGCAAGAAAAGCAUUAUAAUGUUCCCAACACGAAGAAAUGGUAACCGUUUCAGGUGAUGGCUAUCCCAACUACCCUAAUUUUAUAAUUAUACAUUAUAGGUAUGUAUCAAAAGAUCCCAUGUACUCCACAAAUAUGUACAACUAUUAUGUAUCAAUAAAGACAGAAAAAACAUUAUAUAUAAUUACAUAAUACAGACAUAAUGAAUAUGAAUCAACUCUUAGUAUAUAUGAGGAAGAAGUGCUUGAAAAAUUUCUGUAAUUUUAAUCAUUAAAAACCUAGUCUCCAGAAUUAAAUUUUAUUCACUUAAUCAAGUCUUGUUUCAGGAGAGAGAGACAGAUAUAAAGAAAGGGUAUAGCUACUUGAACAAGGGAGGCAGCAUCCAAAUGACAGCCUGCAUGUUGUUUAUUCACACAGAGUAACUGCUGGCCAAAAUAAUAUCUCCCGAUGUUCAUUUAGUGUUGACAGAAAUGGUGAGAAUAUUCAAUACUAUCAACUUUCAGCCACUGAAUGUGCUUAUUUUGAGAGCACUGUUCAAAGAAGUGGAUUCUAGCUAUAAACACUGCUUUUCCCCCCACUUAAAUAGUCUAUUGAAGAGGAAAAUACCCAUACACAUUAGUAAAAUGAGAAAUGAGAUAAAAAUAUUGUUUCCUUACUCUAAUGCCGACGAAGAAUAAUGGUAUGAUUUAAGGGACCUAAGUAAAUAGCAUAUCCCAGUAAUAUAAUCAGUAUUGUGAGCCACCUAACUCUCUCAUUCAAAGCCAAGGUGUGGAGAUUCUUAAGAUCAAAGAUAAGUGGUCGGAAUUUCUUAAGAGGGCCGACCAUGUGGGCAAGGGCUUUGUUGUUCAGACUUCGACCCUUCCCCAGAGCCUGAAGAUUUUCUUUAGAAAACAAAGUCAAUGCCACGACUGGACCUUUCAACACCACACCCAAAUGCUGCAACAGAUGAUAUCACUUUCCAGGGUAAACACAAGCAGUGUAUUCUGAGGCCACUGGCCCGACUUCCCAGGUUGACUCAUCCUGCCUUCCAGCCUUGAAGGGCAAUAUCCUUACCAACAUGUGAUCUGAAGGAGCUCUGAACCCUCCAGUGAGACAUCAGCCCAUCAGACUCACAGAGAACAGCAGGAAGGCCAAAGACUCAAGAUUUAUCUAUCCUUGAAGCCUCCGUUAUACGAAGGGAAAACAUCCCAGACCCCCCAGUGAAUGCCUGAAACUGGAUUCUACUGAACCCUGAGAUGGUACUAAGUGACUAACGGGUGAAUAGCGUGUACAGCAUGGAUACACUAGACAAAGGGAGGAUUCGCAUCCCGGGCUGGUCAGCAAGAGGUUUCAUCACCCCACUCAAAAUGGCAGGACCGUAUGAACCUGAAUCCAGAGAAACGGCUCAUCAGUCUCCAAUCCUCUGAUUUUCUAAACCAGGACUACAUUAUAUUAAAACCAGAAAAAGCAAUACCUCUUUUCACAGAAUGGACUUUCUGGUGGAAAUGGGAGGAACCAAAAGAAGGCUGACUUCUUCAUUUUGACACCCUGCCCUGACUGCAGAACGUGAUUUCCCUAAAAGACUGAAUGUUAACCUCAAAGCCUGGUCAACCAACAUGCAGGAGAAAUCUUGACCAAGGCUCUGAGCAUGCUGUGGUCCCAGUGGUGAGGGUGUGAUAUGCACUGUCUGUUCCUGGAGUCACAGUGCUCAUCUUGUGGUAAAGACCUCUUGGAAGAAUGUCUUCAAAGGCACAUCUCCAGCUGGGAGUCCUUGUUUCCUGAUUUUUUUUUUUAAGUUUAUGUUAUAUGAACAAAUGAGACUGCUUUCCCGGCAGGAGUAGCCCUCAGACGCCCACUGUGAGCCUACUUUCUGGAAGAAGCCAACUCAGACAGACCACAGUGUGUGCACAGCAUACGUGGCUGCUGGCUGUGGAUGAGAAAGUAUUCCUGAUCUGUCAGAAUAAUGAUUUCAGCGUGUUCUCAGCAGGUCCUCAGUGUGAUCCCAUGAGGAUACCCUCAACCCCUUGCAUGACAUGUUGUACUUGGAGUCCUUCCCCAUUUCAAUUUCAGCAUCAGUGGGAGGGAAAUAGCAAAACAGCAUUCCUUCAUGUAGAUAACCAGUAGGCAGCAGGCUACUCCUGGUUCGUAACAUAACUCCACCAGUGUAUUCUGGCAGCCGGGCUUACUUAAGGGAGAGCACAGACAUUCCCUGCUCAAAAACAAAACUGCUAAACGUGACUCCGGUAGCCUCCAUGCUCUCUGCAAGAAUAAAAUCCUUGAAGAAAAAUUGUGAUAAGAAGUCUGUCUUUGGAGUCAGCCUGAGCACAAUCUUGCAUCUCCAGUUACCACCUGGGUGGCUUUAUUCACUUAAGAAAUACCUGUAGGAUACAUACUACAUGGCAGGCAUGCUUCUCAGAUGUUAGCUCAUCUUGCUAAGCCUCCAGUAUCUUCAUCUAAACAGUGAGGAUAACAGUAUGUACCUCCUAGGGCCAUCUGAGGAAAAAGUGAGAUAGUGUGUAUAAAGCUCAUAGCACAGGGCUCAUAGAGAGGAUUUGCAGUUAGUGUUGGCUGUGGCAGGUAUUAUUCCCUUUACCCCAGCCUAUGCCAUCCUUGCCACCCCAUCAGGAGCUCCUGAUGAUGCCAGCACCUCUUGCCGAGCCCUCAUCUGGGGCAGCGUACACCUUUAACUUUUUAUUCCUCUUGGCUUUGAUAUUCAUUGACCUGGAGCUACCCACACCAGGGGGCAGCAUAAAUAAUGGCAGAAGUCACAGUCUCUGCCCUGGCUUCACACCUCCUCUUGGUAUCAGCUGUUCACCAUGCUCUUCCUACUGACUCUCUGUAGGACCAGCACCAACACCAUGUCUUAAUCUGAUAUACAUACACACACACACACACACACACACACACACGAGACACUAUAAACAGUAUAUAUGCAAAACUAUAUAUAUUACUAUGUAUCUAAUAAAUGAAACUAAAAUAUAU
rnacentral:lncRNA from 1 species